GACGAACGCUGUCGGCGUGCUUAACACAUGCAAGUCGAGCGGUGCGGCGAACGGGUGAGUAACGCGUGAGUAACUGCCCCCCUCUCUGGGAUAACAGUUGGAAACGGCUGCUAAUACCGGAUAGUGGGGGAUGACUCGCGUCCUAUCAGCUUGUUGGUGGGGUAGUGGCUUCCCAAUGCGACGACGGGUAGCCGGCCUGGGAGGUAGACCGGCCACAUUGGGCUUAGAUACGGCCCAAGCGCCUACGGGAGGCAGCAGUGGGAAAUAUUGCUCAAUGGGGGAAACCCUGAUGCAGAAACGCCGCGUGCGGAAUGACGGCCUUCGGGUUGUAAACCGCUUUCAGCCAUGACGCGGUAGUGGCAGAAGAAGCACCGGCUAACUACGUGCCAGCAGCCGCGGUAAUUC
rnacentral:rRNA from 1 species